CAUGACGAACUUUCCCGGCAUGCCUAAUACAUGCAAGUCGAACGAACUCUGGUAUUGAUUGGUGCUUGCAUCAUGAUUUACAUUUGAGUGAGUGGCGAACUGGUGAGUAACACGUGGGAAACCUGCCCAGAAGCGGGGGAUAACACCUGGAAACAGAUGCUAAUACCGCAUAACAACUUGGACCGCAUGGUCCGAGCUUGAAAGAUGGCUUCGGCUAUCACUUUUGGAUGGUCCCGCGGCGUAUUAGCUAGAUGGUGGGGUAACGGCUCACCAUGGCAAUGAUACGUAGCCGACCUGAGAGGGUAAUCGGCCACAUUGGGACUGAGACACGGCCCAAACUCUACGGGAGGCAGCAGUAGGGAAUCUUCCACAAUGGACGAAAGUCUGAUGGAGCAACGCCGCGUGAGUGAAGAAGGGUUUCGGCUCGUAAAACUCUGUUGUUAAAGAAGAACAUAUCUGAGAGUAACUGUGCAGGUAUGGACGGAACGAAA
rnacentral:rRNA from 2 species